rnacentral:rRNA from 1 species
GGCAGCAGUGGGGAAUUUUCCGCAAUGGGCGAAAGCCUGACGGAGCAACGCCGCGUGAGGGAUGAAGGCCUCUGGGCUGUAAACCUCUUUUAUCAAGGAAGAAGAUCUGACGGUACUUGAUGAAUAAGCCACGGCUAAUUCCGUGCCAGCAGCCGCGGUAAUACGGGAGUGGCAAGCGUUAUCCGGAAUUAUUGGGCGUAAAGCGUCCGCAGGCGGCCCUUCAAGUCUGCUGUUAAAAAGUGGAGCUUAACUCCAUCAUGGCAGUGGAAACUGUUGGGCUUGAGUGUGGUAGGGGCAGAGGGAAUUCCCGGUGUAGCGGUGAAAUGCGUAGAUAUCGGGAAGAACACCAGUGGCGAAGGCGCUCUGCUGGGCCAUCACUGACGCUCAUGGACGAAAGCCAGGGGAGCGAAAGGGAUUAGAUACCCCUGUAGUCCUGGCCGAAAACGAUGAACACUAGGUGUCGGGGGAAUCGACCCCCUCGGUGUCGUAGCCAACGCGUUAAGUGUUCCGCCUGGGGAGUACGCACGCAAGUGUGAAACUCAAAGGAAUUGACGGA